rnacentral:rRNA from 1 species
UGGGGAAUAUUGGACAAUGGGCGAAAGCCUGAUCCAGCCAUGCCGCGUGUGUGAAGAAGGCCUUUUGGUUGUAAAGCACUUUAAGCGAGGAGGAGGCUACUUGGAUUAAUACUCUAGGAUAGUGGACGUUACUCGCAGAAUAAGCACCGGCUAACUCUGUGCCAGCAGCCGCGGUAAUACAGAGGGUGCGAGCGUUAAUCGGAUUUACUGGGCGUAAAGCGUGCGUAGGCGGCUUUUUAAGUCGGAUGUGAAAUCCCUGAGCUUAACUUAGGAAUUGCAUUCGAUACUGGGAAGCUAGAGUAUGGGAGAGGAUGGUAGAAUUCCAGGUGUAGCGGUGAAAUGCGUAGAGAUGUGGAGGAAUGCCGAUGGCGAAGGCAGCCAUCUGGCCUAAUACUGACGCUGAGGUACGAAAGCAUGGGGAGCAAACAGG